rnacentral:rRNA from 1 species
GACGAACGCUGGCGGCGUGCUUAACACAUGCAAGUCGAACGCUGAAGCCCAGCUUGCUGGGUGGAUGAGUGGCGAACGGGUGAGUAACACGUGAGUAACCUGCCCCCUUCUUUGGGAUAACGCCCGGAAACGGGUGCUAAUACUGGAUAUUCACUGGCCUUCGCAUGGGGGUUGGUGGAAAGGUUUUUUCUGGUGGGGGAUGGGCUCGCGGCCUAUCAGCUUGUUGGUGGGGUGAUGGCCUACCAAGGCUUUGACGGGUAGCCGGCCUGAGAGGGUGACCGGUCACAUUGGGACUGAGAUACGGCCCAGACUCCUACGGGAGGCAGCAGUGGGGAAUAUUGCACAAUGGGCGAAAGCCUGAUGCAGCGACGCCGCAUGAGGGAUGACGGCCUUCGGGUUGUAAACCUCUUUCGCUCAUGGUCAAGCCGCAGCUUUGGGUUGUGGUGAGGGUAGUGGGUAAAGAAGCGCCGGCUAACUACGUGCCACCAGCCGCGGUAAUACGUAGGGCGCGAGCGUUGUCCGGAAUUAUUGGGCGUAGAGGGGUUGUAGGCGGUUUGUCGCGUCUGCCCUGAAAUCCUCUGAGGUAACUGGGGGGCGUGCGGUGGGUACUCCCACGCUUGAGUGCGGAAGGGAGACUGGGGCUCCUGGUGUGACGGUGUAAUACCAGAUAUCACACGAACAGCGGGGCGAAAAGUGGGUGUUUGGGGGGUACUGCGCUCAGAGCGGCAGCGUGGGGGAGACAAG